CUACGGGGUGCUGCAGUGAGGAAUAUUGCACAAUGGGGGGAACCCUGAUGCAGCAACGCCGCGUGGAGGAUGACGCAUUUCGGUGUGUAAACUCCUUUUAUAUGUCAAGAAAAUGACGGUAGCAUAUGAAUAAGCACCGGCUAACUCCGUGCCAGCAGCCGCGGUAAUACGGAGGGUGCAAGCGUUACUCGGAAUCACUGGGCGUAAAGGACGCGUAGGCGGGUUGGAAAGUCAGGUGUGAAAUCCUACAGCUUAACUGUAGAACUGCACUUGAAACUUCUAAUCUAGAGUAUGGGAGGGGGAGAUGGAAUUAGUGGUGUAGGGGUAAAAUCCGUAGAUAUCACUAGGAAUACUGAAAGCGAAGGCGAUCUCCUGGAACAUUACUGACGCUAAGGCGUGAAAGCGUGGGGAGCAAACAGGAUUAGAUACCCCAGUAGUC
rnacentral:rRNA from 1 species